GACGAACGCUGGCGGCGUGCUUAACACAUGCAAGUCGAACGGUGACCCAGGGCUUGCCCUGGUGAUCAGUGGCGAACGGGUGAGUAACACGUGGGCAACCUGCCCCUGACUUCGGGAUAACUCCUCGAAAGAGGAGCUAAUACCGGAUACGACCACUUCGGACAUCCGAUGGUGGUGGAAAGUUUUUCGGUCAGGGAUGGGCCGCGGCCUAUCAGCUAGUUGGUGGGGUAAUGGCCUACCAAGGUGACGACGGUAGCCGGCCUGAGAGGGCGACCGGCCACACUUUGGGACUGAGACACGGCCCACGACUCCUACGGGAGGCAGCAGUGGGGAAGUAAUU
rnacentral:rRNA from 1 species